AUGCUCUCCUCCAUGCCGAGAUCCGGGUCCUUCGAGGCGGGGCUCAGGGCGUCUUCGUCCGUUACACUCUCCUCCCCCUCCAAGCCGUCCCCUCGGUUCCACCGGAGCCGCUCCACCGCCGGCAGCUCCAAGGCGCCCCCCUCCCCGGAGAAACGUCGCGGCGUCACCGGCGGCGGAGGCACGAUGCCGACGCCGACGCCGGCGCAGCAGCGGGUGGCGCAGCUGGAGGAAGAGCUCAAGAAGGAGCGGGGUGAGAAUUAUCGGGUGGUGCAGCUCGAGGAGGAGCUGAGGACAGAGCGGGAGGACAAGGCGCGGGCGGUGCGGGAGCUCGACGAGCUUAUGAGGAAGGACGACGGAAGGGGCGGCGCCGAGAAGGUGCAGCUUCUGGAGCGGGAGGUGGAGAGGGCCAAGGAGUCGGAGCGCAAGAUGCUCGAGUCGCUCAUAUACCAGACCAAGCAGCUGGAGCAGACCAAGAUCAGCCUCGAGGAGGCCAAGCUGGAGAUGGCCACGCUGCAGCAGAGCAACCGGAGCCUCGAGGCCCGGCGCGGCGUCAUGGACCAGCGGAGCGUCAAGGACCUCAUGUUCGGCGGCGCCGACGAGGAGAUCAGGGCCCUGCGCGCCGACCUCCGGGCGGCCAUGCAGGGGGAGGAGAGGAGCCGGAAGGCGCUGGACGACCUGUCCCUCGCGCUCUCCGACGUCACCAUGGAGGCCAAGCAGGUCAAGCGCUGGCUCUCCGACACGCAGGCGGAGCUGGAGGCCGCCAAUGCCGAGGCCGCGCGGCUGCGCGGGGAGCUCGCCGCCGCCGAGACGCGGCUGCGGGAGCAGCACCGGUGCAGGCUCGAGGCCGAGGAGUCGGCGGCCGCGUGGGGCGACAAGGAGCGCGUCUUCCUCGAGUGCGUGCGCGCCGCCGAGGAGGAGGUGAACCUGGCCCGGCAGGAGAACACCAAGCUGGUGGAGUCGCAGCGCGUGAUCCGCGACGAGAACGCCCGCCUCCGCGACAUCCUCAAGCAGGCCGUCGGCGAGGCCAACGUCGUCAAGGAGUCGCUGGAGCUCGCCCGGGUCGAGAACGCGCGGCUCAACGACGUCGUCGCCGAGAAGGAGGGCGCGCUGCAGAACCUCCGGCAGGAGCACGAGUGCAUCAAGGUCAGCGAGGCCGCCGCGCAGGGCAGCCUCAAGGAGCUCAACAGCCUGCUCGCCGCCACGACGACGACGGCGUGCAGCACUCCCGUGUCCUCGGCCACGACCGCGCCCGUGGCGCCGGAGUGCGGCUUUGACCAGCGGCACCUGCCCAACGGGCGCCUCGUCGCCAGCGCCAAGGGGACGCCGGAGACGGGGUCGCGGCGCUGGAUGGCGGAGAAGCCCAGGACGCCGAGCGGGCGGAGCUACUCGAUCGGCGAGCCGGCCAAGUUCAAAGGCGUGGGCUACUCGCAGUCGGCGAGGAUGGGGAGCCUGAACCCCAAGGACCGGAUGUUCGCGUCGCUCAGCAACAUGGCCGACCUCAAGUCCGCGGCGGCGGACGCGGCCAUGGACGACUACGACGACGACGAGUUCGACCACAUCGACGAGAGCCACUACGUGGGCAUGGAGCACUCCAUGAACGGCAAGAAGAAGCGGCCGAUCCUUCGCAAGUUCGGGGAUCUCUUCAGGAGGAAAAGCUUCUACAAGGCGAAUUUGGCGCCAGUGCACACUUGA
rnacentral:rRNA from 1 species